GACGAACGCUGGCGGCGGGCUUAACACAUGCAAGUCGAACGGAAAGGCCCUGCUUUUGUGGGGUGCUCGAGUGGCGAACGGGUGAGUAACACGUGAGUAACCUGCCCUGGACUUUGGGAUAACUGCAGGAAACUGGGGCUAAUACCGGCUAGGAGCUCCUGCUGCAUGGUGGGGGUUGGAAAGUUUCGGCUGUUGGGGAUGGACUCGCGGCUUAUCAGCUUGUUGGGGGGGUAGUGGCUUACCCAGGCUUUGAAGGGUAGCCGGCAUGAGAGGGUGAACGGCGACAAUGGGCCUGAGAGACGGAGCAGAGUCGUAUGGGAGGCAGUAGGGGAGAAUAUUGCCCAAUGGGCGGACGCCUGAUACAGAAACGCCGGGAGCGGGAUGACGGUCUUGGGGUUGUAAACCGCAUUAGCCUGUGACGAAGCGUGAGUGACGGUACUGGGUAAAGAAGCACCGGCUAACUACGCG
rnacentral:rRNA from 1 species